rnacentral:rRNA from 1 species
UACGGAGGGUGCAAGCGUUAUCCGGAUUCACUGGGUUUAAAGGGUGCGUAGGUGGGCAGGUAAGUCAGUGGUGAAAUCUCCGGACUUAACCCGGAACUGCCGUUGAUACUAUCUGUCUUGAAUAUCCUGGAGGUGAGCGGAAUAUGUCAUGUAGCGGUGAAAUGCUUAGAUAUGACAUAGAACACCAAUUGCGAAGGCAGCUCACUACGGGAUCAUUGACACUGAGGCACGAAAGCGUGGGGAUCAAACAGG